ACCCGGGAACGGGUAACGGGGGAUCAGGGUUCGAUCCCGGAGAGGGAGCCUGAGAAACGGCUACCACAUCCAAGGAAGGCAGCAGGCGCGCAAAUUACCCACUCCCGGCACGGGGAGGUAGUGACGAAAAAUAACGAUACGGGACUCAUCCGAGGCCCCGUAAUCGGAAUGAGUAUACUCUAAACCAUUGUACGAGUAUCAAUUGGAGGGAAAGUCUGGUGCCAGCAGCCGCGGUAAUUCCAGCUCCAAAAGCGUAUAUUAAAGUUGUUGCGUUUAAAAAGCUCGUAGUUGGAUGUCUGUCUCGCGGCGUCGGUUCACCGCCCAGCGGUGUUCAACUGGCGUUCCUGCGAGACGUAAUACCGGCGGCCGCCCUGGCCCCGCUCGGACAACCCUAGAGUCCGCCCCGGGUUCUCCGGCGGCGCGACCCGAAGGCCCUUGCGGCGAGCCAGGCGGUCUAGCAGUCCUGUUGCGGUGCUCUUAAAAGGGUGUCACGGCAGGCCGGUACGUUUACUUUGAACAAAUCAGAGUGCUCCAAGCAGGCUCGAGUGGCCUGUAUGUUGUGCGCAUGGAAUAAUGAAAUAGGACCUCGCUUCUGUUUCGUUGGUUUUAAGAAACUGAGGUAAUGAUCAAUGAUGACGGGCGGGGGCAUUUGUAUUGCGACGUUAGAGGUGAAAUUCUUGGAUCGUCGCAAGACAGACCUAAGCGAAAGCAUUUGUCAAGUACGUUCAUCUCGAUCAAGAACGAAAGUUAGAGGUUCGAAGGCGAUCAGAUACCGCCCUAGUUCUAACUGUAAACUAUGCCUGCCAGCGAUCCGCCGAUGUUCCUCCGAUGACACGGCGGGCAGCUUCCGGGAAACCAGAGCUUUUUGGUUCCGGGGGAAGUAUGGUUGCAAAUCUGAAACUUAAAGGAAUUGACGGAAGGGCACCACCAGGAGUGGAGCCUGCGGCUUAAUUUGACUCAACACGGGAAAACUCACCAGGCCCGGACACCGGAAGGAUUGACAGAUUGACAGCUCUUUCUCGAUUCGGUGGGUGGUGGUGCAUGGCCGUUCUUAGUUCGUGGAGCGAUUUGUCUGGUUAAUUCCGAUAACCGAGCGAGACUCUAGCCUACUAACUAGGCGUACCCGGUAUCCACAAUCGUGCUACCGGCGAUCAUAUAUCUUCUUAGAGGGACAGGCGGCUUCUAGCCGCACGAGACUGAGCAAUAACAGGUCUGUGAUGCCCUUAGAUGUCCUGGGCCGCACGCGCGCUACACUGAAGGAAUCAGCGUGUCUUCCCUGUCCGAAAGGACCGGGUAACCCGCUGAACCUCCUUCGUGAUAGGGAUUGGGGCUUGCAAUUGCAACCCAUGAACGAGGAAUUCCCAGUAAGCGCGAGUCAUAAGCUCGCGUUGAUUACGUCCCUGCCCUUUGUACACACCGGCCAUUUCGNAUUUAUUUG
rnacentral:rRNA from 1 species